rnacentral:lncRNA from 1 species
UUUUUUUUUUUUUGCAUGUGCAUGUAUGUACUUAUUCGAGUUGGUUUGUAUAUGUGCAUGCAGAGGUUGACUUGAAGUGUGUUCCUCAAUUGCUCUUUGAUUUAUGUUCUGAAGCCAUGUCUUGAUGAGCCUGGAGCUUGCAGGUUGGUUAAGAUCACUUGCUAAUCUGCCUCCAGAGAUCCUUUGCCUCCACUUCCCAAUCACUGGGAUUGCCCAGUUGGUUUUUAUGUAGCUACAGAAAACCCAGUUUUCCUGCUUCCAUGGCAAACAUUUCAUCUACUGAGCUAUAUCCAUAGCUCAGUUUUUUUUUUAAUAUUAUUUGGCUAUGAUUAUCUUGGUUGCUUCAAAAGUCAAAUUCAUUUUUUUUGUUUGCUGUUGUUUUUUGUUUUUAGAAACAGGGAUUCUCUGUAUAGCCCUGCUGUCCUGGAACUCAUGCUGCAGAUGAGGCUGACCCUUGAAGUGAGAGAGCUGCUUGCCCCUGCCUUCUUACUGCUGAGAUUAAAGGUCUGUGUAUCAUUUUUGAGAUAAACUCAGUGUAAACUAUAAGGCAAAGACAUGUUCGAAUUUAAUCUACAUAUAACACCCAGCAUGGAGAGAAUCAGAAACCAAGAGCAUGGUGUACUCAGUCUAACCCACAGGUUAUGCAGGAGGCAGGGCUGACACAGCGACCUCCUCAUGUGGAAUCACCCGGAACCAUUUCUGUUCCAGCUCUUCUGUUUUUUGGCAAGUGCAUGUGAGUUUCUGGAUGACUUAUACUGAUUUUAGAUCAAGCAUGAGACUCAGAAUAGUUACUGGGUGACAUAAAAUGACAGAAACACCUUUGUACUGAGCGGAACUUCUGUGUUGGUGAAAUGAUAAAUAUAAAUGCAAA